CAGCAGCCACGGUAAUACGGAGGAUCCAAGCGUUAUCCGGAUUUAUUGGGUUUAAAGGGUGCGUAGGUGGCCUGUUAAGUCAGGGGUGAAAGACGGUAGCUCAACUAUCGCAGUGCCCUUGAUACUGAUGGGCUUGAAUGAACUAGAGGUAGGCGGAAUGUGACAAGUAGCGGUGAAAUGCAUAGAUAUGUCACAGAACACCAAUUGCGAAGGCAGCUUACUAUGGUUUGAUUGACACUGAGGCACGAAAGCGUGGGGAUCAAACAGGAUUAGAUACCCCAGUAGUCCCUGUCUCUUAUAC
rnacentral:rRNA from 1 species